CCAAUAGCGUAUAUUAAAGUUGUUGUGGUUAAAAAGCUCGUAGUUGAACCUUGGGCCUGGCUGGCCGGUCCGCCUCACCGCGUGUACUGGUCCGGCCGGGCCUUUCCCUCUGUGGAACCCCAUGCCCUUCACUGGGUGUGGCGGGGAAACAGGACUUUUACUGUGAAAAAAUUAGAGUGCUCCAGGCAGGCCUAUGCUCGAAUACAUUAGCAUGGAAUAAUAGAAUAGGACGUGUGGUUCUAUUUUGUUGGUUUCUAGGACCGCCGUAAUGAUUAAUAGGGACAGUCGGGGGCAUCAGUAUUCAAUUGUCAGAGGUGAAAUUCUUGGAUUUAUUGAAGACUAACUACUGCGAAAGCAUUUGCCAAGGAUGUUUUCAUUAAUCAGGAACGAAAGUUAGGGGAUCGAAGACGAUCAGAUACCGUCGUAGUCUUAACCAUACACUCUGCCGACUAGGGAUCGGACGGUGUUACUAUUUUGACUCGCUCGGCACCUUCCG
rnacentral:misc_RNA from 1 species